rnacentral:rRNA from 1 species
CCUACGGGAGGCAGCAGUGGGGAAUAUUUCACAAUGGGGGAAACCCUGAUGCAGCGACGCCGCGUGCGUGAAGAAGUACUUCGGUAUGUAAAGCGCUUUCAUCAGGGAAGAAGAAAGACGGUACCUGACUAAGAAGCUCCGGCUAACUACGUGCCAGCAGCCGCGGUAAUACGUAGGGGGCAAGAGUUAUCCGGAUUUACGGGGGGUAAAGGGUGCGUAGACGGCUGUGCAAGUCUGAAGUGAAAGCCCAGGGCUCAACCCUGGGACUGUUUUGGAAACUGUGGAGCUAGAGUGCGGGAGAGGUAAGUGGAAUUCCUAGUGUAGCGGUGAAAUGCGUAGAUAUUAGGAGGAACACCAGUGGCGUAGGCGGCUUACUGGACAGGAACUGACGUUGAGGCUCGAAAGCGUAGGGAGCAAACAGGAUUAGAUACCCCAGUAGUC